rnacentral:rRNA from 1 species
UACGGGGGGGGCAAGCGUUGUUCGGAAUUACUGGGCGUAAAGGGCUCGUAGGUGGCCAACUAAGUCAGACGUGAAAUCCCUCGGCUUAACCGGGGAACUGCGUUUGAUACUGGAUGGCUUGAGUUUGGGAGAGGGAUGCGGAAUUCCAGGUGUAGCGGUGAAAUGCGUAGAUAUCUGGAGGAACACCGGUGGCGAAGGCGGCAUCCUGGACCAAUACUGACGCUGAGGAGCGAAAGCCAGGGGAGCAAACGGG